rnacentral:pre_miRNA from 1 species
UGGACAGAUUAUUGUAUUCGACUGUAUUCACGGCGUGAAACAGGGGAUUACACUGUUUUUAAAACGAAAAGUGAAUCAAUUAACAUAAUAGACUCCU